CCUACGGGUGGCAGCAGUGGGGAAUAUUGCACAAUGGGGGAAACCCUGAUGCAGCAACGCCGCGUGAGCGAUGAAGGCCUUCGGGUCGUAAAGCUCUGUCCUAAGGGAAGAAUACUGACGGUACCUUAGGAGGAAGCCCCGGCUAACUACGUGCCAGCAGCCGCGGUAAUACGUAGGGGGCUAGCGUUAUCCGGAAUUACUGGGCGUAAAGGGUGCGUAGGCGGCCCUUCAAGGCAGAGGUGAAAGGCUACGGCUCAACCGUAGUGAGCCUUUGAAACUGUAGGGCUGGAGUGCAGGAGAGGAGAGUGGAAGUGGCGGUGUAGCGGUGAAAUGCGUAGAUAUUGGGAGGAGCAGGAGGUGCGAAGGCGGCUCGCUGGACUGUAACUGGCGGUGGGGCACGGAAGCGUGGGGAGCGAAGAGGAUUAGAUACCCUUGUAGUC
rnacentral:rRNA from 1 species